rnacentral:rRNA from 1 species
UGGUCAAGCUGAUAAGAGCGCAGGUGGAUGCCUUGGCACUAAGAGCCGAUGAAAGACGUGAUAAGCUGCGAAAAGCUCGGGGAGGAGCAAAUAUCCUUUGAUCCGGAGAUAUCUGAAUGGGGAAACCCGGCUGAGUAACCCUCAGUCACCAUAACGUAAAUACAUAGCGUUAUGGAGGGAACCCG